AGUAACGAGCGCCAGCGCGCGACGACGGGACGUCCCCCGUGCGGUCGCACUGCCCUGACUUGCUGGCCGGCAACCCUCCAUCCGGCGGGGUGCCUCAGGUGACGACUCGGCAAUUCGACCAUCGAUACGCAAGCCAGAAGG
rnacentral:ncRNA from 2 species